rnacentral:misc_RNA from 1 species
CUUCUCUCCCUCUGUUUCUUGCU